CCAAAAAACAUAUAAUUGCCUCUCCUCAAGCAAGGAUAAGACAAAGGGAACCUGCCUGGCUGGAACUGAGGGGGACUGAAGCAAGAGGUGUUCUGAAUGUGGCAGCACAGCUCAAUUAAGAGACCACUGCAUGUUGUGAAACCUUCCUGACACAUGAAGGCCUUUUGAAGCUGAGGUGCCCUGAGUGCUGCUGGGCUGGCCAAGGGGCCUUCUCUGAAAUCCCUUCUUCACACAGGAAGAGAAACAUUUGCUCAUCUGAUGGUGCACCUGAAACAAAGUUGCAUGGUCUGUUGAUAUUUAUUAGUGCAGAUAAAAAAGCGGUGAGAACUAAUCUAUAGAUGGGAGUGUGCUCAUCCUUCCCUGCAAGGAAACUGAUCUCUGAAUCAGAAUCUGAGCCAGCUAAAUGUCAACAAGGCUCUUGACAUCUGCACAGUCCAUACAUUACAAGAAGCAGGAGCAUUAAAUAG
rnacentral:lncRNA from 1 species